CUAAGUUUGAUGGCGACCGGCGCACGGGUGAGUAACACGUAUCCAACCUGCCGAUGACUCGGGGAUAGCCUUUCGAAAGAAAGAUUAAUACCCGAUGGCAUAGUUCUUCCGCAUGGUAGAACUAUUAAAGGAUUUCGGUCAUCGAUGGGGAUGCGUUCCAUUAGGUUGUUGGCGGGGUAACGGCCCACCAAGCCUUCGAUGGAUAGGGGUUCUGAGAGGAAGGUCCCCCACAUUGGAACUGAGACACGGUCCAACUCCUACGGGAGGCAGCAUG
rnacentral:rRNA from 1 species